rnacentral:lncRNA from 13 species
AUUUGUUCAGCAAGGACAAGAAGAAAAUAUUUUAAUGCUUUUUAUUGCUAUGUCGACUCAUUUUUGUACACUCUGCCUACAGUUCUUUUAUCAGAGCUGGCUUGGCAAUUCAUCCUCUAAAGCACUAGAGAAAACACAUCUUACUGAGUGCAAAGAAGAAAAAGAAAAAAAAUAUCAAGAGAUUUGAAGAUAUCGGCCAAGGAUCCUUAAAAUACUGGAAUAGAAGCUGCAGUCUGAAAGGAAAUUGAAAGGAAACAACUGAUACAGCCAAGAAAUGAAUUGAUACAGAACUUAAUGUAAGACACACAUUUGGCUGAAGUGAAGUAGUGAUAAAGUAGAUGAAAAAGGACUGUGUUAGAACAAAAGCCUUUCCUGAGAAUGUGACCCUUCGCUACGCACAGACAAUGAAGUGAAGAGGAGAUGGAAGUCUUAGGAGGAAAGGAAGUCAUGUCUAAUAGAGUCAUGCUAAAAAUAUUCUCACAGUCUCCGUAUCUCUUUUUAUUUUACCUAUGGAGCUAUUGGCCAUACAUAUUUGCAAAUCUUAAUGUGUUAACAUUUACUGAUUGAUUGAUUUUUGUUUCUAUACUAUAAAAAAAUGUCACUCCUCUGAGACAAUCAAAAUAUUAUCCAUUUGUUUUAAUGUAUUUUUUUAACCUAUGUAGUCUUUACAACAUAUGAAGUUUAUUUUUUAAUUCACUUAAGGUAGAAUCUAUCUUUUUUCCAUAAAUAGUCAAUUUUCUAAGCCUAAUUAAUCCAAUUAUUUAAUUACAACCCCCUCUCCGCAUGCAUGCACAUUUGUCAAGUUGCAUUUGUCAUAUAUCUAAGUCCCAUAUCUUUUCACUUCCACUGCUCUACUCCUACGCCGGGGAGUAGAGUUGUUCAUUAGGAUUAACAGUGUUUCACUCCUUCCUCCAUCUAUGGCUUCAUCACAGGCUGAAUAUAUUUCCCUUUGCUUGACUUCAGGUCCGGCCGUGUAAUUUGUUUGGGACAUCACAUGCACAGAAACUACAACAGCAUGACAGUGCCAACUAUUAGCCUAUAAGAAGCCAUAAGCAUGUUUACAAUUUUUGUCUCUGUCAUAACCAUAAAAGAAACAUGCCACACAUCUCCAACUAUUCCACAAGAAGGAUUGAAAGCACAUGGACCGGAGGCACUUCAGUUUCUGGCUUCUGAAGCACAACCACCCAGAUUACCCAUGAACUGACAAUGGGUAACAGAUCUAUGCAACCUACCAGGGUGCAGUUCUGCUCAACCUACCAAUGACACAUAUACAGAUUAGAAUUUAAUAUGACUGUUGUUUGACACCACUGAGCUUUGGGGUGAGGUGCUGCUAUUUUUUAUGUAGGACUAUUAAAGAAAGCUAAAUAAUACAGAAUUUGCUACCAAGAGGUGUAUCUGCUAAAAAGAAGGAAACAAUAAUAAGAAUCCUGAAAAAUGGACUUCCAGUUUCUGAAGAAAGAGUUUUCAAUUUCUGUUUUUCUGUUGUCAUUUUGUUAAAAAGUUGUUAAAAGUUUUCUUCGGAAUUCUAUUUCUAAACUUAGCAAAAAUUACUUUAUCUGUAACAUGACCGUCACUCAUUGAGAGCAUAAAUCUGAAAUGUAUAUUGUUGAAAGCUAGUACUAACACUAUUAAUUUUAAAAUUCCCCAUUGCUUCCAUUUUUAUUUUGUUAAUAAGGUCUUACAAGGAAGAAAAAAAAGAGGGUUUUUUUUUCAUUGAAAUCUAAUUAACUGAUAUUUUCCUAUGCUGUGUGCUUUUUGUGUCCUUUCUAUUAAAUCUUCACCUAAUCCAGAUUACAAAUAUACAUAAAGGAAUUCAGGUCUGUGAUCUAUAUAACAUUGAUUUUUGAACAUGAUUAGAGGUAAGAGUUGACAUUCACUUUUUUUUCCAAAUUAUAUUCAAUUGUUCUAACAUCAUUUUUUGAAAAAAAAAUGGUUUUUAUCUCAUCAAAUUCUCUUAACAAAUUCUGCCACUAAACACUAUUACACAUUUAAUGCAGCCUCUAAUUUCUUAGUUAUGCUUCUUUUUUAGCUGUCUCAUUUUUUUCUGUUAAUAUUGUUAUAUAUUUCACUUCUAUAUACUUACAAAUUUCCAAAGAUAUUAUUUUUACUUUAAAAAAUUGAUGAUCACUUAAAAGGUUAAACAUAACAAAAAUGUACUUUACAUAUAUCUGCAUAUGUUUCAUUCCUGGCCCUCUCUGUUUCUGUGUGGAUGUCCUAAUUUCCAUCUGAUAUCAUUUCCCUUCUGCCUAUGAAAAUUUCUGUAAUAUUUCUUAUAAUAAAGUUUAGGUAAAAUUAAUUAUCCCA